rnacentral:rRNA from 1 species
UACGAAGGGGGCUAGCGUUGCUCGGAAUUACUGGGCUUAAAGCGCACGUAGGCGGAUUGUUAAGUCGGGGGUGAAAUCCUGGAGCUCAACUCCAGAACUGCCUUCGAUACUGGCGAUCUAGAGUCCGGGAGAGGUGAGUGGAACUGCGAGUGUAGAGGUGAAAUUCGUAGAUAUUCGCAAGAACACCAGUGGCGAAGGCGGCUCACUGGCCCGGUACUGACGCUGAGGUGCGAAAGCGUGGGGAGCAAACAGG